CUACGGGGGGCACCAGUGAGGAAUAUUGCACAAUGGGGGGAACCCUGAUGCAGCAACGCCGCGUGGAGGAUGACGCAUUUCGGUGUGUAAACUCCUUUUAUAUGUCAAGAAAAUGACGGUAGCAUAUGAAUAAGCACCGGCUAACUCCGUGCCAGCAGCCGCGGUAAUACGGAGGGUGCAAGCGUUACUCGGAAUCACUGGGCGGGAAGGACGCGUAGGCGGGUUGGAAAGUCAGGUGUGAAAUCCUACAGCUUAACUGUAGAACUGCACUUGAAACUUCUAAUCUAGAGUAUGGGAGGGGGAGAUGGAAUUAGUGGUGUAGGGGUAAAAUCCGUAGAUAUCACUAGGAAUACCUAAAGCGAAGGCGAUCUCCUGGAACAUUACUGACGCUAAGGCGUGAAAGCGUGGGGAGCAAACAGGAUUAGAUACCCUUGUAGUC
rnacentral:rRNA from 1 species